rnacentral:rRNA from 1 species
GGCCGCGGGAAUUCGAUUCAGGCCUAACACAUGCAAGUCGAGCGGUAGAGAGAAGCUUGCUUCUCUUGAGAGCGGCGGACGGGUGAGUAAUGCCUAGGAAUCUACCUGGUAGUGGGGGAUAACGUUCGGAAACGGACGCUAAUACCGCAUACGUCCUACGGGAGAAAGCAGGGGACCUUCGGGCCUUGCGCUAUCAGAUGAGCCUAGGUCGGAUUAGCUAGUUGGUGAGGUAAUGGCUCACCAAGGCGACGAUCCGUAACUGGUCUGAGAGGAUGAUCAGUCACACUGGAACUGAGACACGGUCCAGACUCCUACGGGAGGCAGCAGUGGGGAAUAUUGAACGAUGGGCGAAAGCCUGAUGCAGCAACGCCGCGUGAGCAAUGGAGGCCUUCGGGUCGUAAAGCUCUGUCCUCAAGGAAGAUAAUGACGGUACUGAGAGAAGCC